UGUAAAGACAUACAGUAUCUAUAUACUGCAAAAAAUUGAACAUAAGACGCCGAUACAUUAAGUAAUCCUUACCUUUUAAUCUGCAGAUUGGCGAAAGCAAAUACAAUAGCUUCAGUUUCAUGAUAAGUGGGCUGGCGGAGUUUGUCAAUGAAUCAAAUAAGCGGCAUUGCAGAGUUUUUUAAUUGUGGAGUGAGAAAGAGAGAUCACCUUGUCUACCUUAUUCUGCCACUCCGCUGAACGGAUACACAGCUUUUUCACCUGGUCAGAACGUGGGGAAAGAUUCGUGGAAAGAAUGUUGUCAAUAUUUUUGACAUCACGUCUAAAUGGCCAAAACCCCUUUCAAAAGCUACAGAAUCUACUAGCUGUCACUGCUUAGUUCUUUAUUCAUUCUCACAAUCCGUGAACGGUUACGAAUUUCCUUCAUGAAAAAAGAAGAGCCUGAAGGAACAAAAAUCGAAGAGGAUGAAUCAAGAACAUACCUUGCUUCUGGAUUAAAUAAUACUCUUCAUGGCAACAUUUACCAGCUAAAAUUGUUAAUGUUAUUUUUAAAGCGUGGACUAGAUAAAAGCUACUCUUUUCGUUUGGCUACAGAGUAGAAUAAUGCUGAAAAAUUUGAUGAUUUGGUUUUUAUAUGUAAUAAUUCAAAAUCAAAAAAAAUAUAUCGUUUUUUGCAAGCAAAACACAAGCAAAAUAAGGAGGAUAAUAAAAUUGGAAUAAGCGAUUUACUCACAAAAAA